AUUGAACGCUGGCGGCAUGCCUUACACAUGCAAGUCGAACGGCAGCACGGGAGCAAUCCUGGUGGCGAGUGGCGAACGGGUGAGUAAUAUAUCGGAACGUGCCCAGUAGUGGGGGAUAACUGCUCGAAAGAGCAGCUAAUACCGCAUACGACCUGGGGGUAAAGGGGGGGAUCGCAAGACCUCUCGCUAUUGGAGCGGCCGAUAUCAGAUUAGCUAGUUGGUGGGGUAAAGGCCUACCAAGGCAACGACCUGUAGUUGGUCUGAGAGGACGACCAGCCACACUGGGACUGAGACACGGCCCAGACUCCUACGGGAGGCAGCAGUGGGGAAUUUUGGACAAUGGGCGCAAGCCUGAUCCAGCAAUGCCGCGUGCAGGAAGAAGGCCUCGGU
rnacentral:rRNA from 1 species